rnacentral:rRNA from 1 species
UUGAAAGGGAAACGAUUGAAGUNAGUNGNNUGGCGCGAAAUCAACCUUCUCGUCUUGAGAUCNCAUGGCGUGGCGAGCCUCAAAACCGUCACGAAGCGUGAACUCUUGGUGAAAUGGAGGAUUUGUGUCCGCUGGUUAACAUCAAUUUGAANNNAUAAAAAGGCUGGAGGGAUGUGGUNNUUUGGGAGUGUUAUAACUUUAGGGAAUGUGGUGGUCGGGAUUGAGGAUUGCAACGAAUACCUUUAGGGCUGUUCCACCUGGCUUCUCAUUGGUAUCCUGGUGACGACAGNUCNUGUNGUGUUAGGAUUCGCUUCGACCACCCUAGAGUGUGACGUUAAGGAUGUUGACGUA